rnacentral:rRNA from 1 species
UACGUAGGGUGCGAGCGUUGUCCGGAAUUAUUGGGCGUAAAGGGCUCGUAGGCGGUUUGUCGCGUCGGGGAGUGAAAACCAGGUGCUUAACACCUGGCUUGCUUUCGAUACGGGCAGACUAGAGGCAUGCAGGGGGAGAACGGAAUUCCUGGUGUAGCGGUGAAAUGCGCAGAUAUCAGGAGGAACACCGGUGGCGAAGGCGGUUCUCUGGGCAUUACCUGACGCUGAGGAGCGAAAGUGUGGGGAGCGAACAGG